UACGGAGGGUGCAAGCAUUAAUCGGAAUUACUGGGCGUAAAGGGCGCGUAGGCGGGAAUGUAAGUCAAGUGUGAAAUGACGGGGCUCAACCCCGGAACAGCACUUGAUACUGUGUUUCUUGAGGGUAGGCGGAGAAAAUGGAAUUCCACGUGUAGCGGUGAAAUGCGUAGAUAUGUGGAAGAACACCGGUGGCGAAGGCGAUUUUCUAGCUUGGCCCUGACGCUAAUGCGCGAAAGCAAGGGGAGCAAACAGG
rnacentral:rRNA from 1 species